rnacentral:rRNA from 1 species
UUGCACGCUGGCGGCAGGCCUAACACAUGCAAGUCGAACGGUAACAGGAAGAAGCUUGCUUCUUUGCUGACGAGUGGCGGCCGGGUGAGUAAUGUCUGGGAAACUGCCUGAUGGAGGGGGAUAACUACUGGAAACGGUAGCUAAUACCGCAUAACGUCGCAAGACCAAAGAGGGGGACCUUCGGGCCUCUUGCCAUCGGAUGUGCCCAGAUGGGAUUAGCUAGUAGGUGGGGUAACGGCUCACCUAGGCGACGAUCCCUAGCUGGUCUGAGAGGAUGACCAGCCACACUGGAACUGAGACACGGUCCAGACUCCUACGGGAGGCAGCAGUGGGGAAUAUUGCACAAUGGGCGCAAGCCUGAUGCAGCCAUGCCGCGUGUAUGAAGAAGGCCUUCGGGUUGUAAAGUACUUUCAGCGGGGAGGAAGGGAGUAAAGUUAAUACCUUUGCUCAUUGACGUUACCCGCAGAAGAAGCACCGGCUAACUCCGUG